rnacentral:rRNA from 1 species
GAUGAACGCUGGCGGCGUGCCUAAUACAUGCAAGUCGAGCGAACAGACGAGGAGCUUGCUCCUCUGACGUUAGCGGCGGACGGGUGAGUAACACGUGGAUAACCUACCUAUAAGACUGGGAUAACUUCGGGAAACCGGAGCUAAUACCGGAUAAUAUAUUGAACCGCAUGGUGCAAUAGUGAAAGACGGUUUUGCUGUCACUUAUAGAUGGAUCCGCGCCGCAUUAGCUAGUUGGUAAGGUAACGGCUUACCAAGGCAACGAUGCGUAUCCGACCUGAGAGGGUGAUCGGCCACCCUGGAACUGAGCCACGGUCCAGACUCCUACGGGAGGCAGCAGUAGGGAAUCUUCCGCAAUGGGCGAAAGCCUGACGGAGCAGCGCCGCGUGAGUGAUGAAGGUCUUCGGAUCGUAAAACUCUGUUAUUAGGGAAGAACAAAUGUGUAAGUAACUAUGCACGUCUUGACGGUACCUAAUCAGAAAGCCACGGCUAACUACGUG